rnacentral:hammerhead_ribozyme from 1 species
AUUCAACUGAUGAGUACCAAAUAGAACGAAACGCGCGUCCUCGAU